UAUAAGACUGGGAUAACUUCGGGAAACCGGAGCUAAUGCCGGAUAACAUAUAGAACCGCAUGGUUCUAUAGUGAAAGAUGGUUUUGCUAUCACUUAUAGAUGGACCCGCGCCGUAUUAGCUAGUUGGUAAGGUAAUGGCUUACCAAGGCGACGAUACGUAGCCGACCUGAGAGGGUGAUCGGCCACACUGGAACUGAGACACGGUCCAGACUCCUACGGGAGGCAGCAGUAGGGAAUCUUCCGCAAUGGGCGAAAGCCUGACGGAGCAACGCCGCGUGAGUGAUGAAGGUUUUCGGAUCGUAAAACUCUGUUAUUAGGGAAGAACAAAUGCGUAAGUAACUGUGCGCAUCUUGACGGUACCUAAUCAGAAAGCCACGGCUAACUACGUGCCAGCAGCCGCGGUAAUACGUAGGUGGCAAGCGUUAUCCGGAAUUAUUGGGCGUAAAGCGCGCGUAGGCGGUUUCUUAAGUCUGAUGUGAAAGCCCACGGCUCAACCGUGGAGGGUCAUUGGAAACUGGGAAACUUGAGUGCAGAAGAGGAAAGUGGAAUUCCAUGUGUAGCGGUGAAAUGCGCAGAGAUAUGGAGGAACACCAGUGGCGAAGGCGACUUUCUGGUCUGUAACUGACGCUGAUGUGCGAAAGCGUGGGAAUCAAACAGGAUUAGAUACCCUGGUAGUCCACGCCGUAAACGAUGAGUGCUAAGUGUUAGGGGGUUUCCGCCCCUUAGUGCUGCAGCUAACGCAUUAAGCACUCCGCCUGGGGAGUACGACCGCAAGGUUGAAACUCAGAG
rnacentral:rRNA from 1 species